CUUUGCGAAGGCAUCACGACUCAGCACAGCUGCAUUUGGGUCUAGAAGUUUUGUGAUGUUCCCAUCAGGAGUCACUAUGACACGCUUGCAAACAGUUUGUAGAUGGUAGCGUGAUUUCUCAUCCUUAAGUUUGGAGGAGUCGAUUUCUUUUCCUUUGAUAAAUUCAAUAUUUCCAAGAUGGAGGAUUGCAGCCACUACACGGAAUAUUGCAUCCUGGAGAAUGGAAAUCAUGAAAUCAAUGAAAUUACCUCUGGUGGUGCUGCACAAAGCAUGUAAAAGCAAUGAUAGUUUCUCUCUGGAUCGGAAACUUGGCAAACACGUGACCUUUCAAGAAGAUAAGUGCGAACUGCAGCUCCAGAGAUCUUUCCAUGCUUAUCAAAUUGAAUCUCAACGAACUUGCCAAAACGACUGUUCUUCCUUCUGUGCCUGAUCUGCCCCCCAUGAAUGCAAGGUAUCUCAUGAGCAUUUUAGUCGUCUCUGUUUUACCAGCUCCACUCUCUCCACUUACCAAAAUGGACUGGCUUUCCUGUUCGUUUAUCAUUGCUCUGAAGUAUGUGUCAUCAUAUCAGCUCUACGCUAUGAUACAUACUGAAAUUUUGAAUGUUAAAAUGCAUGAUUUGAUGUGAUAUGUUUUGCAUACCUGUAACAAGUAUCUGCCACAGCAAAAAGGUGCGGACUUAGCUCUCCGAAAGGAGCUCCCUUGUACUGCUCCAUCAUAUGAACAUCGUAUAAAUGUGGCAGUCUUUGGAAAGGAUUCACUGCUAUCAGAAUGUUCCCAGUGUGAAUGAUCACUCACAUAAAUUUCAUUGAGAGAAAAUCGACAAGCAAGGUUAUGCAAGACCCCGGGUUCAUGGAGGUAUGCCAAUUUGGUCAUGUCAUCAACUCCUGCUGGCGGUGCCUCUGUGUCCUUCGGAUAUAUGCUAGAAAUAUCUGCAACUAUCUGGUGAUCAUAUGGAAUAGGCCAAACAUUUUAGUUACAUCAUUUUCGCAAUGCAAUGCGUUUUCGUUCCAAAGAUUCAACACAAGUUUCAUAUCAGAGAACUUUUUUUGGAGUUAGGAGUAUGCUUAGAUGUCAAACCAAAUUUGUCGGUCUAGUUAUUCGGUUUGGUUAGUUAUCAGAAAGACUCAAUGCUUAUUAUAAUUAAUAUUCUAGUCUGUUUUUCAAGUUAGCACAUUUAUUAUCUGCACCCUUAUAUAUGAAGGGGGUGCAGAAAUUGGGCAGACUCUUACUCUGUUGAUUUAUUUUUUAAUGUUUUAACUUCUAUGUC